AGUGAACGCUGGCGGUAGGCCUAACACAUGCAAGUCGAACGGCAGCACAGUAAGAGCUUGCUCUUACGGGUGGCGAGUGGCGGACGGGUGAGGAAUACAUCGGAAUCUACUUUUUCGUGGGGGAUAACGUAGGGAAACUUACGCUAAUACCGCAUACGACCUACGGGUGAAAGCAGGGGAUCUUCGGACCUUGCGCGAUUGAAUGAGCCGAUGUCGGAUUAGCUAGUUGGCGGGGUAAAGGCCCACCAAGGCGACGAUCCGUAGCUGGUCUGAGAGGAUGAUCAGCCACACUGGAACUGAGACACGGUCCAGACUCCUACGGGAGGCAGCAGUGGGGAAUAUUGGGCAAAGGGCGCAAGCCUGAUCCAGCCAUACCGCGUGGGUGAAGAAGGCCUUCGGGUUGUAAAGCCCUUUUGUUGGGAAAGAAAAGCAGCGGGUUAAUACCCCGCUGUUCUGACGGUACCCAAAGAAUAAGCACCGGCUAACUUCGUG
rnacentral:rRNA from 1 species